CAUCGUCUGUACCGAGCACCGCGCGACCGAGGCGAUGCUCCGCGACUCGGGGCUGCGAUGGAACGCGCUGCGCGACUCCCAGUACGCGGAGGCGGUGGCCUACUACAUCGCUCCAGGCGCCGUCGCCAUGGGCAGCAUGGUGGGCGCCUGGGGUGAGGGCACGGUCGG
rnacentral:misc_RNA from 1 species